GAAAAAGGCCAUAGAUUUUAAAUCUAGAGGAUUUAAAUUGUUUCCAGGGAAAGACAACAGCAACAAGUUUUCUAUCUUAAAUGAGGGAGGUAUUAAACAGGCAUCCAAUUUGUGUCCAGAUCCUGGAGAACCAGAAAAUGGAAAACGGAUAGGCUCAGAUUUUAGCUUGGGUGCAACAGUACAGUUCUCCUGCGAUGAAGAUUAUGUGCUACAAGGUUCCAAAAGUAUCACCUGUCAGAGGAUAGCUGAAGUUUUUGCCGCAUGGAGUGAUCAUAGACCUGUG